UUCCAUGUUCUAUUUAACGAAAUGUCAAUAUAAAUUUAUCCAAUAGCAAAAUCUUGUUAACAGAUUAUUAGUAAUAUAAAGUGGAAUAUUUCAAUAUUGAAAUUAAUUUUUAUAUUGUGUUGUAGAUAUGUAACUAAAUUUCAUAAAAGUAUGCAUCCUUUCCGUUGAAGAUUUUGCUAUAAAUGUUUAACAUAAGUUUAGAAUGAAUAAAACUGUUUUUAUACAAAAUUGUGUAUUAUAGUAUAAAGAAAUAAGCUCACCUGGCGCAAAUCAUCAUUCAUAGAAACAAUAUUUCUUGCAACGUUCAUUAUUUAUCCGCUGAUAUGUAUAAAUUAAAUUUUUGAACGAGUUGCUAUAAUUACGUAUUUAUCGAAAUUUUUUGUUUUUCCCGCUCAAUAUCAUUCGAAAGGUAUAUGCACAAAAUGGCUAAUUGAUAUAUUCACAAAUUAACAAUGAUUUUGUUAAAAAUAAUAGUAACAUACUAUUACUUUAAUUGGUAAAUAUAUUAAAAUAAUAAAAAAUGUAUCAGAUAUAUAAAGCUAAAAAGAAUAUUGUCACUAUUAAUUUGAAUUAAAAAUAUAUUUUCAUUGUUUUUCUUCGCAUCACGUUGCAAUUAUCUUUGGCCAAUCAGAAGACGUAGAUCUUCGUCACAUGACAAUGUAGCUAUUUUGUAAACGCUUCUCAUUGGUCUAAAUAUUUUUGAUCAUAUGCCACGAGUUUAUUCGCUAUCGGUCGUAAAUGCAAUGUUAACGCCUCUCAACCAAUUACAUAUCUUAUACACAUUGUUACUGUAAAUAUAAUUGGUGUAUCCUAUCCAGUAAAAUUUGAUAAAAAUCCGACAAGAAAUGUAGCAUGGAAGCAUGCAUAGACCAUAGUCGUCAAACGGUAACGAGUAGUACUGUGUAUCCAUACAUUGAUAUAAGUUAAAAUUAAAUUUUUAACAGAACCUUAAAUAACGUUGUUAAAGACAGUUUGUCAUUGGAACGACGCUUUUAGAUAAUUUUAUUAUACAACUUAUGAUAUUUUGGGAUAAGUAAAAUGGGAUCUUAAAAUAAUGUAACGUGACUGAUAAAUUGUUCAUAUUGGGAGUAAAUGUGCAUUUCACAAAGGAUGAUUUUAAAUAAUUCCAUGUUAUGUUGAGUUUUCAUUAACCUUCAACAAAUAUUAGUGGCAGUACACUGAGGUUCAAAGGCAAAAAUUGGCAAUGCAAAGGGUAUUUCCAAAAAGGAGCUCUAAUUUUGAACGUAUACAUUUGUGCAACAAGAUUAAGGUGACGUUAGACGAAAAGAGAAUUGUUUUUAAAUCAUCGUCCAGUCUCAAUACGACAGUCAAACAGAAACGACGAUUUAUUAUGUAAUAGAAUGAACGAUUCUAUUUCUUCUUUCUUAUUUUCUUUUUGACAUCUUCCUUUAUGCUGGAUAUAAAAGUUUGAAAGGCCCUUUAAAUAAAAUCGAAGUAUAUUCCCUUUUGCGACAUAUUCAACUAGAAAAGAUGGUUGAAAGUACGACAGCUGUUCAACGUGCUAAGAAUUCUGCGUCCACUAAUGGAGCACAAUGGACUACGAGUGAAAAAAUAUCAUCCACAGUAACGCAUCAAGAAACAAAUUGUGUACAGCAUAAUGAAGUGUGUGCAGAUGCGGAUCAUUUAACAUUAUGGCAACAUCCAAUCACAACAUUAAACUAUUUCUUUCGAGAACUGUUACUCGAUAUACUCUCAUUAGGAAAGAAAACAUUACGUUAUAAGCGAACUGUAUUGAGUACAAUUUCGCUCGUAGCAUUAUUUUUGUUAUUAAGUAGAAUUUCAGGACCACAGCAAGAAACAUUUAAAGCAUGGGAAGCAAAAGUUAUAUGGUGGUUGUACUGGGUAGGUUUGGGUGUAUUGUCUAGUGUAGGCCUUGGUACUGGCUUACACACUUUUGUUCUUUAUUUGGGACCUCAUAUAGCAGCCGUUACAAUGGCAGCAUAUGAGUGUGGGUCUUUAAAUUUUCCCGAACCACCAUACCCAGAUCAAAUAGUAUGUCCAACGAUGAUUGAUCCAUUAUGGACAGCGGGUAUAUUAAAUAUUAUGAGAAAAGUACGAGUAGAGGCUAUGUUCUGGGGUGCUGGUACUGCACUUGGUGAAUUGCCACCAUAUUUUAUGGCUAGAGCCGCAAGAACAAGUCGACAAAGUAAUAAAAACGAUGAAGCUGCCCAAGAUGAUUUGAAGGAAUUAGAAGCCUUAGAGGCAUUAGAAAAUGGUGAAGAUGUGCCAUUAAUAAUGCGUUUGAAAUUAACUAUGAAACAUUUUGUUCAAAAAGCUGGUUUCUGGGGUAUUUUGGCUUGUGCAUCGAUACCUAAUCCAUUAUUUGAUCUUGCUGGCUUGACUUGUGGACAUUAUCUCAUUCCAUUUUGGACAUUUUUUGGUGCAACGCUUAUAGGAAAAGCAGUUAUUAAAAUGCACAUACAACAGCUAGCAGUGAUAAUAGCUUUUAAUGAAGAGCUUUUAGAUAAAUUUAUUAGCCUAUUGGCUAUUGUGCCCUUUGUCGGUUCGCAUUUUCAAGAACCGCUUAAAAAGUACCUUAUUGAACAAAAACAGAAAUUACAUAGUAAAAAAUCAAUGGAUGGAACAACAACGAUUUCUUGGCUUUUUGAUAAAUUUGUAAUAUUGAUGGUGUGCUAUUUUCUAGUGACAAUUAUUCAUGCAUUAGCUCGAAAUCACCACCGUAGACGCGUAAAAUCUUCUACAGACUGAAAUUGAAGAUGAAUAGAUUGGAACAUUGUAAUGGUGAAAACAGUUCCAUAUGUAAGAUGCUAUAUAAGACAUGAUAUAAGAAAUAACAAAUUCUAAUUAUAAUCUGCUUUUUGUGUGCAACUUCAACAACUUCCUUUGCAUGCUGAAAUGCUUUAUAUACACAAACGAGGUAUCGAUGAAUAAAGUUUUAUUUAUUCUCUAUGAAGGAAGCAAAAUGAUGAUUUUUAAUCUGACGAAAUAAAAUUGCGGAUAUAUACUAUGUAGAAAACAAUGCGAGCGAAAAAAGCGGAUGAAAAUUAAAGAGAGAGAGAGAGAGAGAGAGAGAGAGAGAGGGAAUGUUUAAUGUAACACAAUUUUUGAGUAUGCAUGUUCUCAUCUUAUGCAAGUAUAAAGCCAAACUUAAUACAUAUGUAUCGAAUAUAAGAAUGAGAGUGAUAACUUUGGUGUACGAUCGUGUAUGGUUGUUGUUAUUGUUAUUGUUGUUGUUUCAGGGAAAGUGAUAUCGCCCUUCACGGAUAAUAAGCUUUAUGUAAUACACGUGCCUGCGAUAGCUAUAAUAAAGAUCUGACAUUCCAAGCAGGACGUUACCCCUUCUCUUCGACGCAUUUCUGUCACUUUUCUUUUGCUGUUAUGAAGGAGCUAGGAUAUAAGGCUGACUUAGAGUACUAUGUACGAGGAAAGACUAAGCGUCUCAGGGAAGCAGAUAUAAGUAUAGAAAGAGGAUGACCUAGUUGCUACUCUGUGCCUCCCGAAAUAUUAGGAUAAACCCACGCGCGUAAUACAAUCCCAAUGCUAAGCUAACCAAAUUUAGCAUGUGACUUAGCAGACGCCCUCGAGACACUUACACGUACGAUGACUCAGUCCGAGGAGAAGAUCCGACGGACAGGAAUCAGGUGCACGGUAACGAAGAUCAUUCCAACAACCUCCAUCGGCGAAGCGACCUUUACCUUAACUUCGAGUCACGCGUACUGCGGAAUUAGUAUUUCUUCAAUGUUUAUAUGCGAUUUGUUUCUUCACGUGGUUAAGAUGCGUGUAUUUAUAGAGGUGAAUCUUACGGAGUUUGUCCUUGAGAAGAUGUUCGUUAAAAAAGAAAAAAGGAAAAAAACAAAAAAAGAGAGAAAGAGAACAAAAAUUGGCACCGUUGUCCAGUAUAGAUCCUCCCACUGUUUGAUACUUUAAUCAUCGAUAAGGAUCUGCUUUUCCGGGAUCGCAUGUAGGAUAUACGAAAGAUCAAACGAAAUCAGCAUUUAAAAUCGUUCGCCAGCGUCGAAGAGAUUUUACGAUUUAUAGUACGAGAUCAAUAUUUCACAUUCUCUUUUGUAACAACCUUGUUUAGAGAUUAUUUAAUCGGCACGAUGUUUCACGUACGACACGUAAUCUCAUUGGAAUUCCUGUUGUGUCUGUAAAUAUAAGAACGUUUCGACUAUACUAUCUCUUUACUCGGGUCGAUCUCUUCUUAAAAUAGGUCAACUAUAACGAGAUUUUAGGGGUCAGUUGGUGGAUAUUGGUUAAUGAGAGAAAUAAUAUGAAUCUAAGAAAAUGAGGUGCGUAAAGUAAGAGAACGUAAAUACGUCGAUAAAUCACUUAGGUCAAACUGAAAUGCAUUCUAAACGAGUUACUCUCUAGAAGAGUCAGAAUUUAGAAAUUCGAAGAUGUGUUAGAUACGAGCGAUGUACAUGUAUGAAUUGAUAUAAUUCAAAUAAUACGAUUCAAAAAUAUCUUUCAUAACUCGGAUCCAAAGUUAGCUUAAGGUAUACUCUACCUAGGCACAUAUAUAUUUUUAAAUCGUCGUUUGUGGUACAAAACUUAGUUAGUUGUUAGGUACAAGUUACAUAGUUGUUGGGUACAAGUUCAAGCAACAUACCACAAAUAACGCGCCGUGCCUUGAUAGUCUUCUACGCUAAUGAAAAACAUAGUCCGAUUAUCGAUCCGAUAAAUUUUAUGGAAUGUCACUCGAUCGUGACAUGUAAUUCGAUAACAGAAAUACAAGCAAGAAUUAGGCAAGAAGCCCAGAUUUUCCGUGCAUCCGUAGCUGAGCGAUGACGAAUAUUUUUCAAGGUAAAUGCUGAAAUAUCCCUCUUACUCGAUGUACCGAAUUUAAUAUUUCUCCGAGCAUUGCCAAUUCUGCGUUAAGAAAGACGAACUUAUGUUACAGUAAUCCGUUACAUCUAUAAUCCUUGAUACGAUGAUUGCCAGAUAGUUUAUCUAUUAAAGUGUAUGGAUGCGUAAGGGAUAUCGCGUUAAACCGAUCGAUGCGUCGUCGUUAGAAAUAUAGAAAUUACGUAGGACGAAGCUUAAUGUGAUAUAACUAUUUUUAAGAUUUUCAAUAGAUAUAUGUAGUAGAUAAAUGACAAUUUUUUUCUUCGAACUCUAUAGAACUUUUAGAAAAUAGAGAAAUACGUAUGACAAUUAGUAUAUUUUAACGUUCAUAUGCUUAUUUUGUGUGAGAAUAUAUUUUAGUUGGUGAAGGUAACGGUCAAUAGCUUUGAGGAUAACUCUCUGCCAACUGAAAGCGUAGUUAAAACAUACAUAGUUGUAGUGAUGUAUUUACUCUAAAGCAUAUCAAGAGUUCAGUCAGUGUCAACAAAGUCGGAGUACUUUUGUAACUCUACAUGUAUAUGUGUAUAUAUAUAUAUAUACAUAUAUAUAUAUAUAUAUACACAUAUAUAUAUGUGUGUGUGUAUCGAAAAGAGCAUAAAUUUAUCUUUACUUUGAGACGGAUCUUCGUACAUGCCAACAGAUUAAUUCCACGUUGUAUUAAUUCGUUCGAGUGAUAAGAAACUCUAAUAACAUGACGUAUGUAUUUCGUGUUUCUCUAUUCCUGUUAAUCAGACUCCUGUUAAGUAUCCAGUCUCAAUCGAAAAUAACAUUCACGUGUUGAAUAAUAACAAUUAUCUGAAUUCCAUUGCUGUUUAAUAAUUAUCCUUCGUUGAUAUUUCAAAGGAAAAGUCAAAAUAUUUCCACUUUUCUUUCUCUUAAAAAAAGAAAAAAAAAAAAAAGAAAGAAAAAAAGAAAGAAAGAAAAAAUAGAACGUAUAUCAUUAAAAAAAUUUUCCAAGUAUCAUUUUAAUCUCGAUUUCAUUGUGUCCAAAUAUUCACAUAAGGAAAAUUAAUUAAUCAGAACGCAUAAAUAUGAUUUUAUAACGUUAGCAUUUCGCUUUGAUUUAUUUUAAUCUCCGUUUUUUUUUUUUUUUUUUUUUUUUCUUUUUUUUUUUUUUCUCUCUCGAUCUGUCCAAUAGAUAAAUCAUUCAGGUUCGAUAUAGUAAUGUCGUUUUGAAAAGACGUAAUUUUGAAAGAUCGGUGUGUUCGUCCGUUGUUCGUUGAUGAGUCUUCCAUGCUAGAACCCCGUUGGUUCUUCGCCACCACCACCGCGGACAGCCAUCGAAGUCGACGCCGACGUCGACGACAUCACUGAAGUUCCGAUGCACACGUGCCGUGUGCAAACUCCGGACGGUAUGACUAGGACGGUUCCGAGACGGGGACGGCCAUUCGAAUCCAGUAUUAGUGCGGUGUAGAGUGCUCGGUGCUUUUUAACUUAACCAUCCAUCUCAUUUCUUAUCUACCGUAAUCUUCGUUGCUCUUAUACAUACACAUACAUCCACGUUUUUCUGUGUCUUUCUUCGAAAUACUCGUACGUACCGUUAGUGG